GUUCUUGUUUGGCAACACAUUAAAAAUUAGAACAUUCAGAGAAGAUUAGGAUGGCCCCUGCACAUGGAUGACAUGCAAAUUUGUUAAGUGUUCCGUAUUUAA
ensembl:snRNA U6 U6 spliceosomal RNA